rnacentral:tRNA from 1 species
GGAGAGGUGUCCGAGUGGUUUAUGGUGCCGUUCUCGAAAAGCGGUGUGCAGCAAUGCACCGGGAGUUCGAAUCUCCCCCUCUCCGCCA